GGACAGAUGGAAAGAAGGACAGAAGGACAGAUGGAAGAAAGGGAGGAAGGAAGGUAGGGAGGAAGGACAGAUGGAAAGAAGGACAGAAGGAAGAAAGGGAGGAAGGACAGAUGGAAAGAAGGACAGAAGGAAGGAAGGACAGAAGGAAGAAAGGGAGGAAGGACAGAUGGAAAGAAGGACAGAAGGACAGAUGGAAGAAAGGGAGGAAGGAAGGACAGAUGGAAAGAAGGACAG